rnacentral:lncRNA from 1 species
CCGAAAUGGAUGUGUGCCUAGAGAAGUGAAAGAGGAUAUUUUGUGUUUUCCUCCACAGAUGCAGAGACAAAGCCGUGAAGCCAUGUUAGGAACAGAUGUACUGCAUGUUUUAUAAGCCUUGAAGGACUUUUUCAGUUGUGCCUGAUGGACUCGCACCUGCACCUGCAUCUGUACCUAGUGAUUUCUGGAGAACAGUGUCACUGAUUUCAAACAGCCUCUUUGGGGUCCCAUCUUGUUUGCUAGUAUCAUUGUGAAGACACCUGCACAGCUUGCAAAAGAAUAAUAGCAACGUAGUGGCUUGCAAUGUCAAAACUGGACAGCGUGAUGAAAACCUGGCAAGCAAACCAAGGUUACGUGAUACAUAAAAUCACACAGAUCUUUCAGAUGUAUGCUGUGUAUGAACUUGCAUGAUCUAAAACAGAGGUAAGGAAAAGACUUGAGGUUUUUGAAGAGGAGAGGAGGUAUGUUUUUCACCUUUUUGAAAAUGCUCUGAGCUAAGAACCAAAUUUAAACUUGGCAUAGGCGGGUAGCUUGUUAAAGCCUGGACUGAAGCAGGAGCCACACUAGUGCACAUAUUAGUAGUUAUUCCUGAGAGUAUUUGAGAAGUCAAACUGUGAGGCGACAGUCUGAGCAGUAGCCUUUUCCUGGUGAGACUUGGAGCAGUGACAUUAGGCGCGUAUUAAGGGAGACUGCGGCUGUUGUUUUUUGGGUUAUAAAUCAGUAAGUAAUAUGGCAAGCACAUACCUUACUUUUAUACUAACUAAUAUUAACGCUUUUCUCUGAUUUAUGUAGUGGAAAGCUUUUUUCUUCAAACCUGACCAAAGGUGCAGUUUCAAGUGAGGAACUGUUCUAAACCAGUUGCAGUGAGCAGUUUGAGCCCAGAAUUAUGGCCUCCUUAAAGUCUGCAGAACAGUCGAACGCACAGCUUUCUGAUGAGCCCCUAUGCCGUUUUGCAGCUGGGGAAGGUAGCAAGCAGCUGCUUGCAGAAACAGCUCUGAAGAGGUCCUUGAGAUGCAUUCCUCCCAUGAAAGGCAAUUGCAACAAUAAAGGCCUUAUACAAAGGCAGAAAGUCAGUGCAAAGACAGACUUGAGAGAAUACAAGAUGUAAACCAAGCCAAACCAAAAU